GAUUAUGGCUCAGGAUGAACGCUAGCUACAGGCUUAACACAUGCAAGUCGAGGGGCAGCAUGGGGUAGCAAUACUCAGAUGGCGACCGGCGCACGGGUGAGUAACACGUAUCCAACCUGCCGCUUACUCGGGGAUAGCCUUUCGAAAGAAAGAUUAAUACCCGAUGGUAUAAAGAGUUCGCAUGUUCUCUUUAUUAAAGAAUUUCGGUAAGCGAUGGGGAUGCGUUCCAUUAGAUAGUUGGCGGGGUAACGGCCCACCAAGUCUACGAUGGAUAGGGGUUCUGAGAGGAAGGUCCCCCACAUUGGAACUGAGACACGGUCCAAACUCCUACGGGAGGCAGCAGUGAAGAAUAUUGGCCAAUGGACGAGAGUCUGAACCAGCCAAGUAGCGUGAAGGAUGACUGCCCUAUGGGUUGUAAACUUCUUUUAUAAGGGAAUAAAGUGAGGGACGUGUCCCUUUUUGUAUGUACCUUAUGAAUAAGGAUCGGCUAACUCCGUGCCAGCAGCAGC
rnacentral:rRNA from 1 species